rnacentral:rRNA from 1 species
GAUGAACGCUGACAGAAUGCUUAACACAUGCAAGUCGACUCGAGUCUUCGGACUUGGGUGGCGCACGGGUGAGUAACGCGUAAAGAACUUGCCUCUUAGACCGGGACAACAUCUGGAAACGGAUGCUAAUACCGGAUAUUAUGGUUUUUUCGCAUGGAGGAAUCAUGAUAGCUAGAUGCGCUAAGAGAGAGCUUUGCGUCCCAUUAGCUGGUUGGUGAGGUAACGGCCCACCAAGGCAAUGAUGGGUAGCCGGCCUGAGAGGGUGAACGGCCACAAGGGGACUGAGACACGGCCCCUACUCCUACGGGAGGCAGCAGUGGGGAAUAUUGGACAAUGGACCACAAGUCUGAUCCAGCAAUUCUGUGUGCACGAUGACGUUUUUCGGAAUGUAAAGUGCUUUCAGUCGGGAAGAAGUCAGUGACGGUACCGACAGAAGAAGCGACGGCUAAAUACGUGCCAGCAGCCGCGGUAAUACGUAUGUCGCAAGCGUUAUCCGGAUUUAUUGGGCGUAAAGCGCGUCUAGGCGGCAAGGAAAGUCUGAUGUGAAAAUGCGGAGCUCAACUCCGUAUGGCGUUGGAAACUGCCUUACUAGAGUACUGGAGAGGUAGGCGGAACUACAAGUGUAGAGGUGAAAUUCGUAGAUAUUUGUAGGAAUGCCGAUGGGGAAGCCAGCCUACUGGACAGAUACUGACGCUAAAGCGCGAAAGCGUGGGUAGCAAACAGG